rnacentral:rRNA from 1 species
AGCGAACGCUGGCGGCAGGCUUAACACAUGCAAGUCGAACGGGCACUUCGGUGUCAGUGGCAGACGGGUGAGUAACGCGUGGGAACAUACCUCUUGGUUCGGAACAACACAGGGAAACUUGUGCUAAUACCGGAUAAGCCCUUACGGGAAGAUUAUCGCCGAGAGAUUGGCCCGCGUCUGAUUAGCUAGUUGGUGUGGUAAAAGCGCACCAAGGCGACGAUCAGUAGCUGGCUGAGAGGAUGAUCAGCCACAUUGGGACUGAGACACGGCCCAAACUCCUACGGGAGGCAGCAGUGGGGAAUAUUGGACAAUGGGCGCAAGCCUGAUCCAGCCAUGCCGCGUGAGUGAUGAAGGCCCUAGGUUGUAAAGCUCUUUUGUACGGGAAGAUAAUGACGGUACCGUAAGAAUAAGCCCCGGCUAACUUCGUGCCAGCCGCCGCCGUAAC